rnacentral:tRNA from 1 species
GGAGGUAUAGCUCAAAUGGUUGAGAACAUGCUUGUCAUACAAGAGGUCCUGGGUUCAAUCCCCAGUAGCUCCU